UACGUAGGGGGCAAGCGUUGUCCGGAAUCAUUGGGCGUAAAGAGCGUGUAGGCGGCUCGGUAAGUCCGCUGUGAAAGUCCAGGGCUCAACCCUGGAAUGCCGGUGGAAACUGUCGAGCUAGAGUCCGGAAGAGGCGAGUGGAAUUCCUGGUGUAGCGGUGAAAUGCGCAGAUAUCAGGAGGAACACCGGUGGCGAAGGCGGGACUCUGGGCCGAUACUGACGCUGAGGAGCGAAAGCGUGGGGAGCAAACAGG
rnacentral:rRNA from 1 species